GAUGAACGCUGGCGGCGUGCCUAAUACAUGCAAGUCGAGCGAACAGACGAGGAGCUUGCUCCUCUGACGUUAGCGGCGGACGGGUGAGUAACACGUGGAUAACCUACCUAUAAGACUGGGAUAACUUCGGGAAACCGGAGCUAAUACCGGAUAACAUGUUGAACCGCAUGGUUCAACAGUGAAAGACGGUUUUGCUGUCACUUAUAGAUGGAUCCGCGCCGCAUUAGCUAGUUGGUAAGGUAACGGCUUACCAAGGCAACGAUGCGUAGCCGACCUGAGAGGGUGAUAGGCCACACUGGAACUGAGACACGGUCCAGACUCCUAAGGGAGGCAGCAGUAGGGAAUCUUCCGCAAUGGGCGAAAGCCUGACGGAGCAACGCCGCGUGAGUGAAGAAGGUCUUCGGAUCGUAAAACUCUGUUAUUAGGGAAGAACAAAUGUGUAAGUAACUAUGCACGUCUUGACGGUACCUAAUCAGAAAGCCACGGCUAACUACGUG
rnacentral:rRNA from 1 species